GACGAACGCUGGCGGCGUGCUUAACACAUGCAAGUCGAACGGAAAGGCCCUGCUUUUGUGGGGUGCCCGAGUGGCGAACGGGUGAGUAACACGUGAGUAACCUGCCCUUGACUUUGGGAUAACUUCAGGAAACUGGGGCUACUAUCGGAUAGGAGCUCCUGUUGCAUGGUGGGGGUUGGAAAGUUUCGGCGGGUGGGGAUGGAUGCGCGGCUUAUCAGCUUGUUGGUGGGGUAGUGGCUGACCAAGGCUUUGACGGGUAGCCGGCCUGAGAGGGUGAACGGCCACAUUGGGACUGAGAUACGGCCCAGACUCCUACGGGAGGCAGCAGUGGCGAAUAUUGCACAAUGGGCGGAAGCCUGAUGCAGCAACGCCGCGUGCGGGAUGACGGCCUUCGGGUUGUAAACCGCUUUCGCCUGUGACGAAGCGUGAGUGACGGUAAUGGGUAAAGAAGCACCGGCUAACUACGUG
rnacentral:rRNA from 1 species